CUACGAUAUCUGAAUUCUCUUAGUAUUGAUGAUGAGGUGGAGUGUAUGCCUGAAAGGAAUACCUCAAAGACAGACAUGCCUAAGAGGAAAUCCACAAAGACAGACAUGCCUGAGAAGAACACCUUAAUGACAGACAUGCCUAAGAGGAAUACCACAAAGACAGACAUGCCUGAGAAGAACACCUUAAAGACAGACAUGCCUCAGAGGAAUACCAUAAAGACAGACAUGCCUAAGAGGAAUACCACAAAGACAGACAUGCCUCGAAAGAACACCUUAAAGACAGACAUGCCUCAGAAGAAUACCUUAGAGACAGACAUGCCUAAGUGGAAUACCACAGAGACCUCAAAGACAGACAUGCCUACGAGGAAUACCACAAAGAUAUAUAUGCCUGAGAAGAACACCUCAAAGAGAGACAUGCCUAAGAGGAAAAC
rnacentral:lncRNA from 1 species